UCAUUUUUUACUCCAGCUGCAACUGAUCACUUAUGAAGGGGCUCCACAUUUUCAGUGGCAUGUGAACUUUAAGGGUUUGAUCGAUCCAAAGACAAAGGAAGUGACUGAGGGAGAUUUUUCUUCAACUUAAAUGGACUUUUGACCAGGCAUAAAGUAAUAAAACUCCCAACAGCCAAGAGGAAGGAAGAAACAUGCAGUCUUAUGGUGUAUUCAGUGCUGUAGCAAGGGGUGGACGGAUGAGUGGGGUGACCGCCCCGGGAGCCAAAGUGAAGGGGCACCAACAGGCACUGCCCAGCCAGGGUGGGGUUCAGAACAGAACUGGUGAAGAACAAGUGGUGAUGAAUGCCUAAAAUCAGGAAAAGUGAAAAUUGCAGGGAGUUGAUUUGCUAUGAUUGAAGCACAUUCCACAGCUUUUAACAACUACCUUCAACCAAUAUAGUAACUGGAACUUCAGCUCCUGUUUACAUUACAUACACCUUGUUUCUGAGUUUGACAAAUGGUGGAAAUUAUCAUUUAAGAUAUCAGCUGCGAUUCAAAAGGUUUGAAUGUAAAAGUUGCUCCUUUUAUGUUAGCACAACUGAAAAGAAUGACAAAGAGAGAGAGAGAGAGAGAGGGAGAUGAAAAGUCUGAAAUUUGUUCCAUAAGAUGAAAAUUGUCCUUUUAAAAUUUUAUUUGCAGCUGUGCCCAAAUGCUGAUGGAUUUAUCAUAGAACUAGGGAUUAGUAAACAAUGCGUACCCUAUAAAGAGCAAAACAAGUCCUUGCGCAUUACUGUACUUAAUUGCAGUGGUUAUAUCAAAGCCGUAUAAAAUUUAAUCAUCAACCACAAGUAAGACUUUUCUUUGCAUGUGUGCUUGCUUCCCUGUUUUUCCACCUGUUUAAAUGAAAGAUUCUUGGAAUAUCACAAUAUGCAAAUCUUGUUUAUGAUGCAAAAAUAUGCCCUUUCAUCUCCCAGCAGCUUUGAUGUCGUGAUAUAUAAAGCUUUUAGUGCCACCACCUACCAGACACACACAGUUGUUAUCUGAUUUAUAAACAUGUGUGCCCAGUGUAAAUAGAUUGUGUUCAAUGGAUGACACAGUCCUUGUAGUAGUUUUUUAAAGGCUGGGAAAGAGGAGAGUGAAAUAUUCUUUUUUACCUGACUCAUUCUUUCAUUUACAAACACCAAGUAAAAGAAAGCUUAUUAUUUUGGAGUAAGAAGAUGUAGGUCAUAACUGAUCCUAAGAGGUUAGUUUUAUAAAUAGGCAUCUUGUCAAAAUGUGUUUCAAAAGCAGAAACUUUUUUUGUUAAUGAAUUUUCAUCCAAGUGGGAAAUAUGCAGGAGGAUCAGGUGAGCUCCUAAGAAAUGCAAAAAUCCUUAAUUAGUACAGGAAGAAAGAGAAAUGCAGGAAGUUAGGUCAGCACUGGAAAUGGAGCAGAGGAAGCUAAGGAGGGAAUAAGGGGCACCUAAUAUUUAAAAGUCUGAGACUGAUUUGUAAGCUAUUUAAAAGAAACAGCUAUCUUUUAUACAGCUUUAUACAAGUAAUUAUUCUAUGACAUAUUUUACAGUAACAAUAAGUGAAGAGUUAUGUGAGCAUCACUGAUAAAACACUAUGGGCCAGAUUCUCCACUUACACUAACAUUACAUCUACAUAGGAUGCUAACUGCACAGUAGCAUGUCACAGCAUUAGCAGUGCUAAUAUGCUACUGUGCAGUAUUAUUAGGCUACUGCACAGUAGUGUCACUUAAAAGGUGUUUGCCAGUGCUACUGUGCAGUAACUCCGGUUACUACACAUUUAUUUAGUACUUGAACAUACAAGUACUAAAUAAAUGCACAGUAACCACUGUGUAGCACCAUCUCGUGUAGAUGUACCCUGGCAUUGCUUCAAGUCUGGCCCUAUAUUUUGGUGGAAAUGUAUCUGCUUGCCAGCAUAUUUCUUUUAUUGAUUUGGGGCCAAAUUUUGCUCUCAGAUUCACAUAGCUCCCAUAUUCUAUUCUUCUUACACUUCGGAGCUAAUGAAAAUUACAGUUUAUACAUCUACCAUAGGUACAGCAGUGUAGCACAGCUGGGCCUGCCACGCAGAAAUUGCCAUUCAGGUGGGAUAACCACCAUCAUGAUAUGAACUGGAAGGUGUAACAAUUUUUCAGGUUUCCAAAAGCACCCUGGGAAAUCCUUUAUUUCUCUUUAUUUCUACCUAAGCCCUGGGUUGCUUUGAACAGAGGAGGUAAUUGUGUAGGUGAACUUCAGAGAUUCAAAGGGAUCAAACUUGAAAGCGCUUGACUGAAAGUGCAAGCUCAAACUGGAAUCCUGUCAGGUACCUUUAGAAAGGACACAUUGGGGUGUUAUAACUUAAGGAAUUCUUGUACAGUGGGUGACUUGAAUAUAAGACUCCCUGCAGAAGGGAGAUUAGUUUAAUAGUAAAGGGACUGAUAAUAGUAUAAUUCUUUCCAUUUAUAGCCUCACAGUUGCUUGAGAGGUAGAUAACUGCUAUCUCACUAUUCUGUAGGUGAGACACAAAGAAGUUACAAGAUUUGCCCAGGGUUGCAUAGGAAGUGUGGGGCAGAUUGAACAGAUAUUUUCUGUCCUUUAGCCAAAAUAUCUUCAUUUCUCAAUCUAAAUGUUUUUAAUUUUUUUCAGUAUUUUUUUUUAAUCAAGGUUUCUGUGGAAAUGAAUAUGAAGGUAACGUUUAUGAACUUUGAUGGUGUUUUUAAUAAAUACUGGCCAGGUCUAUGUGUGCCCUUAACUACAUAGUAGAUUAAUUAGCUGUGGAGUAAAGCAUCACUGUCCAUGUGCAAUGCUAUUAGGCCACAGUAAACUAAUAAUGAUGCCACCAUAACAUAG